UGGGGAAUAUUGCACAAUGGGCGCAAGCCUGAUGCAGCAACGCCGCGUGAGGGACGACGGCCUUCGGGUUGUAAACCUCUUUUAGUAGGGAAGAAGCGAAAGUGACGGUACCUGCAGAAAAAGCACCGGCUAACUACGUGCCAGCAGCCGCGGUAAUACGUAGGGUGCGAGCGUUGUCCGGAAUUAUUGGGCGUAAAGAGCUCGUAGGCGGUCUGUCGCGUCUGCUGUGAAAACCCGAGGCUCAACCUCGGGCCUGCAGUGGGUACGGGCAGACUAGAGUGCGGUAGGGGAGAAUGGAAUUCCUGGUGUAGCGGUGGAAUGCGCAGAUAUCAGGAGGAACACCGAUGGCGAAGGCAGUUCUCUGGGCCGUAACUGACGCUGAGGAGCGAAAGCGUGGGGAGCGAACAGGAUUAGAUACCCUGGGUAGUCCACGCCGUAAACGUUGGGCGCUAGAUGUGGGGACCAUUCCACGGUUUCCGUGUCGCAGCUAACGCAUUAAGCGCCCGCCUGGGGAGUACGGCCGCAAGGCU
rnacentral:rRNA from 1 species